GACGAACGCUGGCGGCGUGCUUAACACAUGCAAGUCGAACGGUAAGGCCCUUCGGGGUACACGAGUGGCGAACGGGUGAGUAACACGUGGGUGAUCUGCCCUGCACUUCGGGAUAAGCCUGGGAAACUGGGUCUAAUACCGGAUAGGACCCUGGGAUGCAUGUCCUGGGGUGGCCAGCUUUUGAGGUGUGGGAUGGGCCCGCGGCCUAUAAGCUUGUUGGGGGGGUGAUGGCCUACCAAGGCGACGACGGGUAGCCGGCCUAAGAGGGUGACCGGCCACACUGGGACUGAGAUACGGCCCAGACUCCUACGGGAGGCAGCAGUGGGGAAUAUUGCACAAUGGGCGCAAGCCUGAUGCAGCGACGCCGCGUGAGGGAUGACGGCCUUCGGGUUGUAAACCUCUUUCAGCACCGACGAAGCGCAAGCGACGGUAGGUGCAGAAGAAGGACCGGCCAACUACGUGCCAGCCGCCGCCGUAA
rnacentral:rRNA from 1 species